rnacentral:misc_RNA from 1 species
ACCAAUGAUUACGACGUGAAAAUGCGCAACGUGUUCAAGUUCCUAGAGAACGGCGACAAGGUGAAGGUCACCCUGCGCUUUCGUGGUCGCGAGAUGGCGCACCUUAAUCUUGGCCGUGAGCUGCUGGAACGAGUCGCUGACGACAUCGAAGGCCACGGCAAGGUCGAGAACUUCCCCAAGAUGGAAGGCCGCCAGAUGAUCAUGUUGAUCGGCCCGCUGAAGACGUAACACCGUCCUGUCUGCCCCAAUUUGAAAAGCCCCGAUGCCCGAACGGCCCUCGGGGCUUUUUCUUUGUCAGGUGCGUUUCGGGUCGCGUGGCUGUGGCCUCGA